rnacentral:lncRNA from 1 species
GUUCAUCCAACCAUUAACAACAUUAAAAAAGAUUUACUUUUGAAAUAAAUUCAAAAAAUCAUAAAAAGGAAAAUCAUUUAAACAAAUAGCAAAAAAUCUAAAAAAAAAUUAGAAAAUUUGGCAAGAACUAAGAAAUUCAUAAAAAGUAAUUUGAUAAACUUACGCUACAUACAAACACAAUCCAAAAGCAAGUAUCCCGAACGAUCACCA